UGAGGAAUAGCUCAGUGGUGGAGCGCAGGCUUAGCAUGUACGAGGUCCUGGGUUCAAAUCCCAGGUACCUUCA
rnacentral:tRNA from 1 species